AAAGAUUUUAUUUUUGGAUUUCUGUGUCCAACUUUGACCGUUCGUCUUAUUAAAAAAAUUUAUGAAUAAAUUUAAAAAUAUUCAUGCAUGAAGUACUAUUCAUGUGUUACCAUCUAAUAACAAUAAAAAUAUUAAUUAUAUGUUUUUUAAAUAAGACGGAUGGUUAAAGUUGGACACGGAAAUCUUAGA
rfam:Leersia perrieri chromosome 2, whole genome shotgun sequence.